rnacentral:rRNA from 1 species
GUGCCAGCAGCCGCGGUAAUACGUAGGGACCAAGCGUUGUUCGGAUUUACUGGGCGUAAAGGGCGCGUAGGCGGUUUGUCAAGUCAGUUGUGAAAUCUCCGAGCUUAACUCGGAACGGUCAACUGAUACUGUCAAACUAGAGUACAGAAGGGGCAAUCGGAAUUCUUGGUGUAGCGGUGAAAUGCGUAGAUCUCAAGAGGAACACCUGAGGUGAAGACGGGUUGCUGGGCUGAUACUGACGCUGAGGCGCGAAAGCUAGGGUAGCAAACGGGAUUAGAUACCCUGGUAGUCA